UCCCCUGAGGCGGUCUAUAAUGCAGUCGAGCGGAUCUUUGGGACUUUGCUUCCCAAAGAUUAGCGGCGGACGGGUGAGUAACACGUGGGCAACCUGCCUGUAAGACUGGGAUAACUCCGGGAAACCGGGGCUAAUACCGGAUAAUUCAUUUCCUCUCAUGAGGGAAUGCUGAAAGACGGUUUCGGCUGUCACUUACAGAUGGGCCCGCGGCGCAUUAGCUAGUUGGUGAGGUAACGGCUCACCAAGGCAACGAUGCGUAGCCGACCUGAGAGGGUGAUCGGCCACACUGGGACUGAGACACGGCCCAGACUCCUACGGGAGGCAGCAGUAGGGAAUCUUCCGCAAUGGACGAAAGUCUGACGGAGCAACGCCGCGUGAGCGAUGAAGGCCUUCGGGUCGUAAAGCUCUGUUGUUAGGGAAGAACAAGUAUCGGAGUAACUGCCGGUACCUUGACGGUACCUAACCAGAAAGCCACGGCUAACUACGUGCCAGCAGCCGCGGUAAUACGUAGGUGGCAAGCGUUGUCCGGAAUUAUUGGGCGUAAAGCGCGCGCAGGUGGUUCCUUAAGUCUGAUGUGAAAGCCCACGGCUCAACCGUGGAGGGUCAUUGGAAACUGGGGAACUUGAGUGCAGAAGAGGAAAGUGGAAUUCCACGUGUAGCGGUGAAAUGCGUAGAGAUGUGGAGGAACACCAGUGGCGAAGGCGACUUUCUGGUCUGUAACUGACACUGAGGCGCGAAAGCGUGCGGAGCGAACAGGAUUAGAUAC
rnacentral:rRNA from 2 species